rfam:Formosa sp. Hel1_33_131, complete genome.
GCUGAAGUGGUGGAAUUGGUAGACACGUUGGACUUAAAAUCCAAUGUCCCUUGGGACGUACGGGUUCAAGUCCCGUCUUCAGUA